UCCGUAGGCGGUGCGGCAAGUCGAUAGUGAAAUCUCUGGGCUUAACCCAGAGGCUGCUAACGAAACUGCCGUACUAGAGUGUGAGAGAGGCGAGUGGAAUUACGGGUGUAGCGGUGAAAUGCGUAGAUAUCCGUAGGAACAUCCGAGGCGAAAGCGGCUCGCUGGAUCACAACUGACGCUGAGGGACGAAAGCUAGGGGAGCAAACAGGAUUAGAUACCCUGGUAGUCCUAGCCCUAAACCAUCAGGACUUGGGGUUUGCCCUGUACGGGGCAAGUCCCGUAGCUAACGCGUUAAGUCCUGCGCCUGGGGAGUACGGUCGCAAGGCUGAA
rnacentral:rRNA from 1 species